UACGAAGGGUGCAAACGUUGCUCGGAAUUAUUGGGCGUAAAGCGCACGUAGGCGGCUUAGCAAGUCGGAAGUGAAAUCCCUCGGCUCAACCAAGGAAGUGCUUUCGAAACUGCUGAGCUUGAGUACUAAAGAGGAUCGCGGAAUUCCCGGUGUAGGAGGUAGAAAUUCGUAGAUAGUCGGGAGGAACACCAGUGGCGGAAGGCGGACGAUCGUGGGUAGAUACUGACGCUGAGGUGCGAAAGCGUGGGGAGCAAACAGG
rnacentral:rRNA from 1 species